rnacentral:rRNA from 1 species
UACAGAGGGUGCGAACGUUGUUCGGAAUCACUGGGCAUAAAGCGCACGUAGGCGGCACCGCAAGUGUGGGGUGAAAUCCCACGGCUUACCCGUGGAACUGCCUGGCAGACUGCGGUGCUAGAGGUUGGUAGGGGAGAGCGGAACUCUUGGUGGAGCGGUGAAAUGCGUAGAUAUCAAGAGGAACACCUGCGGCGAAGGCAGCUUGCUGGGCCGACACUGACGCUGAUGCGCGAAAGCCA